rnacentral:rRNA from 1 species
GUGCCAGCAGCCGCGGUAAUACGAAGGGUGCAAGCGUUACUCGGAAUUACUGGGCGUAAAGCGUGCGUAGGUGGUGAUUUAAGUCCGUUGUGAAAGCCCUGGGCUCAACCUGGGAAUUGCAGUGGAUACUGGGUCACUAGAGUGUGGUAGAGGGUAGCGGAAUUCCCGGUGUAGCAGUGAAAUGCGUAGAGAUCGGGAGGAACAUCUGUGGCGAAGGCGGCUACCUGGACCAACACUGACACUGAGGCACGAAAGCGUGGGGAGCAAACAGGAUUAGAUACCCUGGUAGUCC